GGUUAAGUUACAAAGGGCGCACGGUGGAUGCCUUGGCACUAGGAGCCGAUGAAGGACGGAACUAAUACCGAUAUGCUUCGGGGAGCUA
rnacentral:rRNA from 1 species